rnacentral:rRNA from 1 species
UACGUAGGGUGCAAGCGUUGUCCGGAAUUAUUGGGCGUAAAGCGUCCGCAGGUGGCUAUUCAAGUCUGCGGUCAAAGACUGGGGCUUAACCCUGGAAAGGCCGUGGAAACUGAAGAGCUAGAGUGCAGUAGGGGUAGAGGGAAUUCCCGGUGUAGCGGUGAAAUGCGCAGAUAUCAGGAAGAACACCCGUGGCGAAGGCGGCUCUCUGGGACGGUACUGACGCUGAGACGCGAAAGCGUGGGGAGCGAACAGG